GUGACAAUAAAUACUGAUACAGGUGGUUAUAUGCCUCUUGUAAUUGGAAUGAGUACAAUUUAAAUCUCUUAACGAGGAACAAUUGGAGGGCAAGUCUGGUGCCAGCAGCCGCGGUAAUUCCAGCUCCAAUAGCGUAUAUUAAAGUUGUUGCAGUUAAAAAGCUCGUAGUUGAACCUUGGACCUGGCCGACUGGUCUGCCUCACCGCAUGCACUGGUUUGGCUGGGUCUUUCCUUCUGGCAAGCCGCAUGCUCUUCACUGGGUGUGUUGGGGAACCAGGACUUUUACUUUGAAAAAAUUAGAGUGUUCAAAGCAGGCAUUGGCUCGAAUACAUUAGCAUGGAAUAAUAGAAUAGGACGUGUGGUUCUAUUUUGUUGGUUUCUAGGACCACCGUAAUGAUUAAUAGGGAUAGUCGGGGG
rnacentral:rRNA from 1 species